AUUGAACGCUGGCGGCAGGCCUAACACAUGCAAGUCGAACGAGUGGCGGACGGGUGAGUAAUGUCUGGGAAACUGCCCGAUGGAGGGGGAUAACUACUGGAAACGGUAGCUAAUACCGCAUACCAUCGGAUGUGCCCAGAUGGGAUUAGCUAGUAGGUGGGGUAACGGCUCACCCAGGCGACGAUCCCUAGCUGGUCUGAGAGGAUGACCAGCCACACUGGAACUGAGACACGGUCCAGACACCUACGGGAGGCAGUAGUGGGGAAUAUUGCACAAUGGGCGCAAGCCUGAUACAGCCAGUCCGCGUGGAUGAAGAAGGCCUUCGGGUUGUAAAGUACUUUCAGCGAGGAGGCGUUACUCGCAGAAGAAGCACCGGCUAACUCCGUGUCAGCAGCCGCGGUAAUUC
rnacentral:rRNA from 1 species